rnacentral:rRNA from 1 species
UGGGGAAUAUUGCACAAUGGGCGCAAGCCUGAUGCAGCAACGCCGCGUGAACGAUGAAGGUCUUCGGAUCGUAAAGUUCUGUUGCAGGGGAAGAUAAUGACGGUACCCUGUGAGGAAGCCCCGGCUAACUACGUGCCAGCAGCCGCGGUAAUACGUAGGGGGCUAGCGUUAUCCGGAUUUACUGGGCGUAAAGGGUGCGUAGGUGGUCUUUCAAGUCGGUGGUUAAAGGCUACGGCUCAACCGUAGUUAGCCUCCGAAACUGGAAGACUUGAGUGCAGGAGAGGAAAGUGGAAUUCCCAGUGUAGCGGUGAAAUGCGUAGAUAUUGGGAGGAACACCAGUAGCGAAGGCGGCUAUCUGGACAGUAACUGAAGCUGAGGCGCGAAAGCGUGGGGAGCAAACAGG